rnacentral:rRNA from 1 species
AACGAACGCUGGCGGCAUGCCUAACACAUGCAAGUCGAACGAAGGCUUCGGCCUUAGUGGCGCACGGGUGCGUAACGCGUGGGAACCUGCCCCUCGGUUCGGAAUAACAGUUAGAAAUGACUGCUAAUACCGGAUGAUGACUUCGGUCCAAAGAUUUAUCGCCGAGGGAUGGGCCCGCGUAGGAUUAGCUAGUUGGUGGGGUAAAGGCCUACCAAGGCGACGAUCCUUAGCUGGUCUGAGAGGAUGAUCAGCCACACUGGGACUGAGACACGGCCCAGACUCCUACGGGAGGCAGCAGUGGGGAAUAUUGGACAAUGGGCGAAAGCCUGAUCCAGCAAUGCCGCGUGAGUGAUGAAGGCCUUAGGGUUGUAAAGCUCUUUUACCAGGGAUGAUAAUGACAGUACCUGGAGAAUAAGCUCCGGCUAACUCCGUGCCAGCAGCCGCGGAAAGUAUCGUACG